UAAGACGAACCACCCAAACGUUAUUCGGAAUUACUGGGCUUAAAGAGUGCGUAGGCGGCCCUGAAAGUAAGGUGUGAAAUCCCACAGCUCAACUGUGGAACUGCGCUUUAAACUACAGGGCUAGAGGGAUACAGAGGUAAGCGGAACUGAUGGUGGAGCGGUGAAAUGCGUUGAUAUCAUCAGGAACACCGGUGGCGAAGGCGGCUUACUGGGUAUCUUCUGACGCUGAGGUACGAAAGCUAGGGGAGCGAACGGGAUUAGAUACCCCGGUAGUCCUAGCUGUAAACGAUGAGCACUAGGUCGUAGGCCUGCACAGGCUUUCGGCCGUAGCGAAAGUGUUAAGUGCUCCGCCUGGGGAGUAUGGUCGCAAGGCUG
rnacentral:rRNA from 1 species